UCAAAAAAUAAUUUUUAAUUAACAAAAGAUAAAUAGAGUUAAGCCCAGCAACAAAAUUAAGCCCAGCAGUUACAUUGGGCUUCGCAGGAGGGGGUGUAGGCUGAAUUUGUGGAUGGUUGAGAGAUUCACAUGGGCCUCACAGUAGAGGCCCGUCACUUUGUCCAGGACAUGCUGUUGGGGGUGUGAUCUGCCGAAUGGAAGUAUGGGGAGGUGAACGCUUGCCCAAGCUCCAAAUGUUCACAUUUUCCAAAACCGGGUCAUGAACCAGAACUCUACACUCACAAGCUUUGUCCCCAAAUUACUAGCUAGGUCGAACAUAAUCAGUAUGCCUUCCAUCCAGAACAAGAAUUUCGCGCAAUACGUACGAGCAUCACGGCCAUAAAUUCAAACGAAAAGCUCGAAACGAGACUCACCUUGAUGUCCGGUAUUCUUCUGUUCGCGGUUGAUCGAGACGAAGAUGAAGUCGUCGGAUUCAGAUUCGUGUGCUUCUUUAUGUGUUUCGUUGAUUGAGACGAUGAUGGAGAAGUCGCGUCGGAGUGUGUUGUGAAGAGGAUUGAAGGCGGCGACGAGGUUUGAAGGUGGCGACGAGGAUUGAAGGUGGAAUUGUAAUGCGAAGAUGAAGGUUUCUCUGAAAUUAGUGAGCUCCUUUCGUUCCAAUCUUCUUCGAUUCUCUCACACCUGCUUCUCCUUGGAUCUUGGUUUCGCUUCUGGAUGCGGAUGGUUUACGUUCUUUGCAUGUUUCUUCUGGCCGAUGGGUUUUGCAGGGCUCGAAGACUUGAGAGAAGGAGAAGGUUUGAAGGUUCUGUUAUGGUGGUUAUAGGAUUUUGCAGAGUGAUGAUAAAGGAUUUCAAUUGAUAUGAGGGAUUCACCGAAUGAUCAAGAGAAUCGAAUUAAUGCCAAGGUUGGAAGUUUGCGAACGGCCAUUAGAUUAAGGUGACCGGCCAACGCAGGUAUCCUCUCAAAUUGCCGAUUUUGGUAGUUGAUUAGUAGAGUUAAAGUUGUGAUAGUUGUUAGAAGUUGGCUCAGGUUAAUUGUUAGCUUGUUUGAUGCACAUGGAUGAAUUUGGUAUGUCAUGGCCAUGAAUGUAGAUGCUUUGAGUGGCGGGUCUGUUAUGCUUGGUAUGCCGGCCAUGUGAAUUACAAGGCUAACGUAUGCUUUGUUUAGUAAUGCAGAAACUUGGUACGUUAUGAUGUUUUAUUAUUGCUGACUAUUACAGAUUGCCAGGUUGGUAUGUGAAUGGAUUUUAUGCCGAUGAAUGAUUGUGUAUUGCCAUGAGUUGUCUUAUGUAUGUGAAAUAUAACCAUGGGUCUAACUUUGAAUGAUUUUGCAGUGCAUGAUUAUGAUGCCGUUAUGAUGACAAGCUACAAGUUUUUGUUUUAUUGGAUUUGUCAAUUGCUGGAUUAUAGUUAUGAUGCAGUUGAAUGGUUAACUAAGGAUACACAUGAGGUUGAUAUAUUAGCAUUGUUAGAACUAUACAAAAGCCAAUUAAAACUAUGCUAAUCUAAGUCACUUGGAUUGAAUGCUAAAACUUGGUUAUAAUGCUAUGCUAGUUACUUUAGUUAUGAGUCUUAUGCCAUGUUGGUGCGAACUUGUUUAGCUUUAGAAUUGAUGUAUGCAUACCAUUGUGAUGAUGAUAGAUGGGAAGAUGUUUUGCAUUUCAACAUUUGGUGUAUGGUAUGGUAUGACAUGCUAAAUUGAACUAGAUUAUGAAUGAGUUCAUGGUGUGUUUGAGAUAACAUGUAUGGUUAAUGCUAUCUUGCUUGGUUUAUUGGCACGGUUAAUGUAACUUGGUGAUAAUGCCAACAAUUUGGUUUGCUUUUUGUAGGAUGUGCGAACACGAAAUGAUGGAAAUCAAGGUGUAGCUUCUAUUUGAAGAAAAUGGUGAAAGUUUGGAUCAUUGUGUCAUGGAGUUAGAUGUAUUUGGACUUGUCAUAUUUUCUUUUUUUGUUAUAAAUUAGUAGUUUGGAGUUGACAUGUUGUAAUGGUUGGAAACUUGUAGCUUGAAAUGUAUGGUUGUAGUUAUGUAACUUGAAAAAUUGAAUGCAUGGUAUUCACGGUUGUAAUAAUAUGAGAAAAUUGUAUGGAAA